AUACCAUGAUGUGGACAUUUUCUUAGCAAGUCAUUUAAUCUCUCCCAAGCCUCAUGGAAGAACUCUCCUUCCCUUUGAGAAAAUUCACGAAUAGAAGAUCGCAU